CGUAACAAGUUCUCCGUAGGUGAACCUGCGGANGGAUCAUUACACAACAAAAUAUGAAGGCCUGGCUUCGCGGCCGGCUGAAAUAUUUUUUUCACCCAUGUCUUUUGCGCACUUGUUGUUUCCUGGGCGGGUUCGCCCGCCACCAGGACCAAACCAUAAACCUUUUUUUUAUGCAGUUGCAAUCAGCGUCAGUAAAAACAAUGUAAUUAUUACAACUUUCAACAACGGAUCUCUUGGUUCUGGCAUCGAUGAAGAACGCAGCGAAAUGCGAUACGUAGUGUGAAUUGCAGAAUUCAGUGAAUCAUCGAAUCUUUGAACGCACAUUGCGCCCUUUGGUAUUCCAAAGGGCAUGCCUGUUCGAGCGUCAUUUGUACCUUCAAGCUUUACUUGGUGUUGGGCGUUUUUUGUCUCCCUCUUUCUGGGAGACUCGCCUUAAAACGAUUGGCAGCCGGCCUACUGGUUUCGGAGCGCAGCACAUAUUUUGCGCUUUGUAUCAGGAGAAAAGGACGGUAAUCCAUCAAGACUCUACAUUUUUAACUUUUGACCUCGGAUCAGGUAGGGAUACCCGCUGAACUUAAGCAUAUCA
rnacentral:rRNA from 1 species